AUUCGACGAAGACAUCCAAACACCUCUCUGUGAAAUGUUUUCAGAGUGCAUCCCCUGCUGAAAAUCUCCUCUAAGGUGAACUGUGAAGGACCCUUGAAUGACCAGCAUUUCCUCCUGCCAAGCAUGUCAUCCAGGAAAAGAGACAAUGUUACCCACUAGAUCAGGACCAUCAGCUCUCCAGCAGCAGGAGGCAUCCACAUGAAGUAUCCCUACCUCCCUCUAGGGCAGCACAACUCCAGCAGGAGUUAUAGGACCACUGCUUGUGCCCUGUGGCUGCUUAGUAACAGCUGCAAAAGAGAUCAAGAGGAAAGUCAAAUGGCUUCAUGAAGCAUUGAAUUUUGCUUGGAUAUUCACAUGGUUAGCAGAGGAUGUUGCUUCAGAAAAUAGCUAGUCCCCUAUUCUGCCUAUUCCUAGCCCAGCCCAACACACCAUGCUAUUCAGAAAUCCCUUCCAUCUCCCACUGUGAGCGGUGGGUGUAUUGUCCUUCUCUUGAUUAUUUUGGCAAAUUGUUUUAAUAUUUCAUCUCCUUUUUCUGUUAAUUAAGUGUUGACAGAAUGGCCGAUUAGCUCCUUCCCUAAAUUCAGCACUGAAGAACUUGUUUUUGGCUAUGACAUUGCUUGUGUUAUGCUGAAAUAAAAUAGAAAACAGUAGCUGUCA